UGAGGAAUAUUGGUCAAUGGGCGUGAGCCUGAACCAGCCAAGUCGCGUGAGGGAAGACGGCCCUACGGGUUGUAAACCUCUUUUGUCAGGGAGCAACGGCCGCCACGUGUGACGGAAAAGAGAGUACCUGAAGAAAAAGCAUCGGCUAACUCCGUGCCAGCAGCCGCGGUAAUACGGAGGAUGCGAGCGUUAUCCGGAUUUAUUGGGUUUAAAGGGUGCGUAGGCGGGAAGUUAAGUCAGCGGUAAAAUUGAGGGGCUCAACCCCUUCGAGCCGUUGAAACUGGCUUUCUUGAGUGGAAGAGAAGUAUGCGGAAUGCGUGGUGUAGCGGUGAAAUGCAUAGAUAUCACGCAGAACCCCGAUUGCGAAGGCAGCAUACCGGCUUCCGACUGACGCUGAAGCACGAAAGCGUGGGGAUCGAACAGG
rnacentral:rRNA from 1 species